UACGAAGGGGGGCUAGCGUUGCUCGGAAUCACUGGGCGUAAAGCGCACGUAGGCGGCUUCUUAAGUCAGGGGUGAAAUCCUGGAGCUCAACUCCAGAACUGCCUUUGAUACUGAGGAGCUUGAGUCCGGGAGAGGUGAGUGGAACUGCGAGUGUAGAGGUGAAAUUCGUAGAUAUUCGCAAGAACACCAGUGGCGAAGGCGGCUCACUGGCCCGGUACUGACGCUGAGGCGCGAAAGCCAGGGGAGCAAAGCGGG
rnacentral:rRNA from 1 species